GUAACCUGCGGAAGGAUCAUU
rnacentral:rRNA from 1 species